rnacentral:rRNA from 1 species
GGGUUGUGAGGUUAAGCGACUAAGCGUACACGGUGGAUGCCCUGGCAGUCAGAGGCGAUGAAGGGCGUGCUAAUCUGCGAUAAGCGCCGGUAAGGUGAUAUGAACCGUUAUAACCGGCGAUACCCGAAUGGGGAAACCCAGUGUGAUUCGUCACACUAUCAUUAACUGAAUCCAUAGGUUAAUGAGGCGAACCGGGGGAACUGAAACAUCUAAGUACCCCGAGGAAAAGAAAUCAACCGAGAUUCCCCCAGUAGCGGCGAGCGAACGGGGAGGAGCCCAGAGCCUGAAUCAGCAUGUGUGUUAGUGGAAGCGUCUGGAAAGGCGCGCGAUACAGGGUGACAGCCCCGUACACAAAAGCGCAUGUGCUGUGAGCUCGAUGAGUAGGGCGGGACACGUGGUAUCCUGUCUGAAUAUGGGGGGACCAUCCUCCAAGGCUAAAUACUCCUGACUGACCGAUAGUGAACCAGUACCGUGAGGGAAAGGCGAAAAGAACCCCGGCGAGGGGAGUGAAAAAGAACCUGAAACCGUGUACGUACAAGCAGUGGGAGCCCCACCACUAAGCCAGUGGUGAACUCCACAUACGCAUCCUUUGCUGAGGAUACGGUUAACGGAGCGAAAGCGACGUUCAACCUCAAAAGAAGCAGAGGGGGCUUAGUGGUGGGGUGACUGCGUACCUUUUGUAUAAUGGGUCAGCGACUUAUAUUCUGUAGCAAGGUUAACCGAAUAGGGGAGCCGGAGGGAAACCGAGUCUUAACCGGGCGUUAAGUUGCAGGGUAUAGACCCGAAACCCGGUGAUCUAGCCAUGGGCAGGUUGAAGGUUGGGUAACACUAACUGGAGGACCGAACCGACUAAUGUUGAAAAAUUAGCGGAUGACCUGUGGCUGGGGGUGAAAGGCCAAUCAAACCGGGAGAUAGCUGGUUCUCCCCGAAAGCUAUUUAGGUAGCGCCUCGUGAAUUCAUCUCCGGGGGUAGAGCACUGUUUCGGCUAGGGGGCCAUCCCGGCUUACCAACCCGAUGCAAACUGCGAAUACCGGAGAAUGUUAUCACGGGAGACACACGGCGGGUGCUAACGUCCGUCGUGAAGAGGGAAACAACCCAGACCGCCAGCUAAGGUCCCAAAGUCAUGGUUAAGUGGGAAACGAUGUGGGAAGGCCCAGACAGCCAGGAUGUUGGCUUAGAAGCAGCCAUCAUUUAAAGAAAGCGUAAUAGCUCACUGGUCGAGUCGGCCUGCGCGGAAGAUGUAACGGGGCUAAACCAUGCACCGAAGCUGCGGCAGCGAACGUAUCACUUAAAGCGAUUCAGCGGGUUACGAUUGACGGAGCGAAGCGACGUCAAAGCGUAUACAAAGUCGAGUCGGUUUAAGGAUACGUUCGUUGGGUAGGGGAGCGUUCUGUAAGCCUGUGAAGGUGUGUCGUGAGGCAUGCUGGAGGUAUCAGAAGUGCGAAUGCUGACAUAAGUAACGAUAAAGCGGGUGAAAAGCCCGCUCGCCGGAAGACCAAGGGUUCCUGUCCAACGUUAAUCGGGGCAGGGUGAGUCGACCCCUAAGGCGAGGCCGAAAGGCGUAGUCGAUGGGAAACGGGUUAAUAUUCCCGUACUUGGUGUUACUGCGAAGGGGGGACGGAGAAGGCUAUGUUGGCCGGGCGACGGUUGUCCCGGUUUAAGCGUGUAGGUGUGUGUUCCAGGUAAAUCCGGUUCACUUUAACACUGAGGCGUGAUGACGAGGCACUACGGUGCUGAAGCAACAAAUGCCCUGCUUCCAGGAAAAGCCUCUAAGCAUCAGGUAACAUCAAAUCGUACCCCAAACCGACACAGGUGGUCAGGUAGAGAAUACCAAGGCGCUUGAGAGAACUCGGGUGAAGGAACUAGGCAAAAUGGUGCCGUAACUUCGGGAGAAGGCACGCUGACACGUAGGUGAAGUGAUUUACUCAUGGAGCUGAAGUCAGUCGAAGAUACCAGCUGGCUGCAACUGUUUAUUAAAAACACAGCACUGUGCAAACACGAAAGUGGACGUAUACGGUGUGACGCCUGCCCGGUGCCGGAAGGUUAAUUGAUGGGGUCAGCGCAAGCGAAGCUCCUGAUCGAAGCCCCGGUAAACGGCGGCCGUAACUAUAACGGUCCUAAGGUAGCGAAAUUCCUUGUCGGGUAAGUUCCGACCUGCACGAAUGGCGUAAUGAUGGCCAGGCUGUCUCCACCCGAGACUCAGUGAAAUUGAACUCGCUGUGAAGAUGCAGUGUACCCGCGGCAAGACGGAAAGACCCCGUGAACCUUUACUAUAGCUUGACACUGAACAUUGAGCCUUGAUGUGUAGGAUAGGUGGGAGGCUUUGAAGUGUGGACGCCAGUCUGCAUGGAGCCGACCUUGAAAUACCACCCUUUAAUGUUUGAUGUUCUAACGUGGACCCGUUACCCGGGUUGCGGACAGUGUCUGGUGGGUAGUUUGACUGGGGCGGUCUCCUCCUAAAGAGUAACGGAGGAGCACGAAGGUUGGCUAAUCCUGGUCGGACAUCAGGAGGUUAGUGCAAUGGCAUAAGCCAGCUUGACUGCGAGCGUGACGGCGCGAGCAGGUGCGAAAGCAGGUCAUAGUGAUCCGGUGGUUCUGAAUGGAAGGGCCAUCGCUCAACGGAUAAAAGGUACUCCGGGGAUAACAGGCUGAUACCGCCCAAGAGUUCAUAUCGACGGCGGUGUUUGGCACCUCGAUGUCGGCUCAUCACAUCCUGGGGCUGAAGUAGGUCCCAAGGGUAUGGCUGUUCGCCAUUUAAAGUGGUACGCGAGCUGGGUUUAGAACGUCGUGAGACAGUUCGGUCCCUAUCUGCCGUGGGCGCUGGAGAACUGAGGGGGGCUGCUCCUAGUACGAGAGGACCGGAGUGGACGCAUCACUGGUGUUCGGGUUGUCAUGCCAAUGGCACUGCCCGGUAGCUAAAUGCGGAAGAGAUAAGUGCUGAAAGCAUCUAAGCACGAAACUUGCCCCGAGAUGAGUUCUCCCUGAGACUUUAGGUCUCCUGAAGGAACGUUGAAGACGACGACGUUGAUAGGCCGGGUGUGUAAGCGCAGCGAUGCGUUGAGCUAACCGGUACUAAUGAACCGUGAGGCUUAACCUUACAACGCCGAAG